CUAGCAGAUUGCAUCCUGUAUAUAAUCUCUGGUAAGAUCUAAGUUUAUUUCUUUUAUUUACCAGGUGUAUUACUCCUGUGGUGCAGUGGUGGAGUCAAUGGAAAGAGGCCUGAUUUUAUCACCAGGUUUUCCAAACAACUACUACCCAGGGACACACUGCGUUUGGCAAUUUUUCAUUCCCAUGAGAACCCAUCUUAUCUUGGAAAUUUUUGACUUUGACAUCUUUGAGAGCUCUAGUGAACCUCAACCCCCCUGGGAAGGCUUUUCAGCCCCCACUAAAACAGGAAAUAAGGACGUACCUUUUCCUGGGGAAAACCUGGACUUGGCUCUCCAUACUACAAAACCCUCUCUCCAGACCUGGAUGUCAAAGGUGGCUCAGAAUCUGAGCACAGGAGAUCAGUCAAAGGACCUUGCUAGUCAUGUGGAUGAACUUCCAGGAUCAGCCUCAAAAAAAGAUGAAGCUAAACAAGCAUCUGAAGAAAACCAGUCAAAGCAGAUGAAGGAACCCAAAGUGAUGACCAAGGCUCAGCCAGAAGAACUGCCACUCCCUGUGGCUGGUAGUGCCACAACACGGAGGCAAAAUACCAGUGGCCUGGAAAGAGAAGAAGAUUUGAAAGGGAAAAUAUUGCUUGCCCACCUUGCUGCUAGUGAGAGAGAUGAAGUUACAGUAGAGACCUGGACUCUUCCCACAACACUAUUGCCUGUGGAAAUCUCCUCCAGCCCACAGUCAGCAGUGGAUGUCUGUCCCCAUGACGUACUAUACGUUUCUGAUCUCAUCACAUUUUCCUCUCGCUUCUGUGGACCAAAUUCACCUUUAAACAAGACCAUGGUCUUUGGUUCAUCUCUGGAAAUGGUUGAGGUUAUCAUGGAACUGAUCACUACCACAGACCGGGGCCGAGGCUUUGCAAUGCUCUUUGAAUACAAGAACAUCACUGAACCUAACACUGUAGAUGCUGUGAGGCAGGAGAGAAAGGAAAACAUGAUGAUGCUGGCAAUUAUAACAGGGACCGUCUUCUUUGCACUUGCUUUGCUCUCUGCCCUCUGCAUAGCUUGGAGGCAGAGAACGUGCCCCAAAAGGAGCUCAUCCAACGCAUGCAGUGACCAGGAGAAUGGGAUCCAGAACUCCGCCGUCGAUAUCAAUGAGCUCCAGCUGGUGGUGCCAAGUCGGGAGAAUGAAAACAACAACCACUCUGUCAGCCGGGAGCAGGCGGUCCUCCUCGCUGUCUCGCCCAUGCACAGCUGGAGAGCCACUUCACAGCAGAAAGCCUUUGUUGUGGGAACUAUUCCUUGCUGCUCUCCCGCCUCGCUGGUAGGGUAAUUCCCCUGGCAAGGAGCACACACAAGCACAGCUCCAGGACGCUGCCAACAAAAGCUGUCAUAGCACAUGGCAUUGCAGAGACACUGGGUUAGCAGAGCAAAUGUGUUGGGUUCAGGCUGCUACAAACAACUUACGAGGAUCCAUAAACCAUGGAAGAGUUUCACCUGCCAUGUGCCUAACCUUGUCUGGAAAGGAUGAGUUUUACAGUGCUUACGUUGGCUUUGGACACCUUUGACUCUUGGAGCUAACUUUUUCUGAAGAACUCUAUGGAUGAGACUUCUUUGC
rnacentral:lncRNA from 1 species